rnacentral:rRNA from 1 species
UGCCAGCCGCCGCGGUAACACGAACCGGACAAACGUUAUUCGGAAUUAUUGGGCUUAAAGGGUGUGUAGGCGGUCAUGUAGGUCAGGUGUGAAAUCCCACAGCUCAACUGUGGAACUGCGCUUGAAACCACAUGGCUUGAGGGAGAUAGAGGUGAGCGGAACAGAUGGUGGAGCGGUGAAAUGCGUUGAUAUCAUCUGGAACACCGGUGGCGAAAGCGGCUCACUGGAUCUUUUCUGACGCUGAGGAACGAAAGCUAGGGUAGCGAACGGGAUUAGAUA